rnacentral:rRNA from 1 species
GACGAACGCUGGCGGCAGGCCUAACACAUGCAAGUCGGGCGAGGGGCGGACGGGAGUGUAAUGUAUGGGGAUGUGCCUGAGGGCGGGGGAUAAAUACGGGAAACGGGAGCUAACAACGUAAAACAUACGGUGAACCCAUAUGGGAUUAGCUAGGAGGUGAGGUAACGGCUUCCCUAGGCGACGAUCCCUAGCUGGUCUGAGAGGAGGAUCAGCCCCACUGGUACUGAUACACGCCCCAGACUCCUACGGGAGGCAGCCGUGGGGAAUAUUGCACAAUGGGCGCCAGCCUGAUGCAGCCAUGCCGCGUGUAUGAAGAAGGCCUUCGGUUUUUAAAAUACUUUCAGUCGGGAGGCGUUACCGACAGAAGAAGCACCGGCUAACUCCGUGCCAGCAGCCGCGGUAAUAC